CCUACGGGAGGCAGCAGUAGGGAAUCUUCCACAAUGGGCGAAAGCCUGAUGGAGCAACGCCGCGUGGGUGAAGAAGGUCUUCGGAUCGUAAAACCCUGUUGUUAGAGAAGAAAGUUCGUGAGAGUAACUGUUCACGUUUCGACGGUAUCUAACCAGAAAGCCACGGCUAACUACGUGCCAGCAGCCGCGGUAAUACGUAGGUGGCAAGCGUUAUCCGGAUUUAUUGGGCGUAAAGGGAACGCAGGCGGUCUGUUAAGUCUGAUGUGAAAGCCUUCGGCUUAACCGGAGAAGUGCAUUGGAAACUGGGAGACUUGAGUGCAGAAGAGGAGGGUGGAACUCGAGGUGUAGCGGUGAAAUGCGUAGAUAUAUGGAAGAACACCAGUGGCGAAGGCAGCUCACUGGUCUGUAACUGACACUGAGGUUCGAAAGCGUGGGUAGCAAACAGGAUUAGAUACCCCAGUAGUC
rnacentral:rRNA from 1 species